UGCCCAGCAACUCCUAUCCAUACCUCCUCGUGGUAUCGGCUGGAAACUAUGAGCAACCUUAAGGAAGAUCGAGUAACCAACCCCGGUGGGAAGUUUGGUCAUAGGCUGACAGGGAAGG
rnacentral:ribozyme from 1 species